CUUUGUAAUUAGCACUAUUUAACUUCAGCUUGCGGCACCAUUACUUUGUCGGGACGUUUUUCACGAUUCAGUGGUGAUUGUUGGGGAUUCUUUCGAUGCUGAGCUCGUACGUUGCUCUUGCUUUUGGUUUGUUUAAUCAAUAAAUAGCCCUUUUUACGAUUUCAAAAUGACGACCGCCUCAGUCGUCUUCCACCACGCAAUCGCUUGACAAUUAAGGUGCUGUUGGCCUGUCCCCGGGAUGCAGAGAAGGAAGGCCAUGUGCAGGUGCUGUUGGCGUGUCCCCAAGAUGCAGAGAAGAAAGGCGAUGUGCAGCUCCAGGGAGCCACUAGGGCGGCGCUGAAGAGACUCAUUGGAUCUCAGAUUUUAUGUCGGGAAAAGCGGUCCAACAAAUUUUGCUGGACGAUGUGUUGACCUACAAAAUAUUAAUAAGAUAAUUAACAAUAAAACAUACCUCUUUGAACGCAA